rnacentral:rRNA from 1 species
UUGGAGGGCAAGUCUGGUGCCAGCAGCCGCGGUAAUUCCAGCUCCAAUAGCGUAUAUUAAAGUUGUUGCAGUUAAAAAGCUCGUAGUUGAACCUCGGGGUCUACCCAUUGGUCAGGCUUAAUUGUCUGCACUGGUGAGAUGGAUCUCUACCUUCUGAGGAACUUUCAUGCCAUUCAUUUGGUGUGAUGGGAAAUCAGGACUGUUACUUUGAAAAAAUUAGAGUGUUUAAAGCAGACUAUCGUCUGAAUACAUUAGCAUGGAAUAAUGAAAUAGGACGGACUGAUUCUAUUUCGUUGGUUUCUAGGAUCACCGUAAUGAUUAAUAGGGAUAGUUGGGGGCAUUAGUAUUCAAUUGUCAGAGGUGAAAUUCUUGGAUUUAUUGAAGACUAACUACUGCGAAAGCAUUUGCCAAGGAUGUUUUCAUUAAUCAAGAACGAAAGUUAGGGGAUCGAAGACGAUCAGAUACCGUCGUAGUCUUAACCAUAAACUAUGCCGACUAGGGAUCGGACGAAGUUAAUUUUAUAAUGGCGCGUUCGGCGCCUUACGGGAAAC